AUAUUGAGAGGGGAUCUUAGUAAAGAAUGGAGUGAUCCGGGUCCUCUGGAAGAAAUGGUCUUUGAAUGGGUCUUGCUGAACUUGGAGAGGCAGAGACACUGAAAGGAAAGUCAAAUCUGGAAAUGGGUGGACGGAACGAAAGUGGGGAGAGAAGGUAAGAAAUGGAACAGAGAAAGAAGAUGCAGAGAGAUUACAGAGAACAGCCUGACGAGGAGAGAGGAGGAGGACAGAUGGAACGCAAAGAGAUGCUACCGCACAGAGGUGCUGUGAUUUCUAACAAGGAGGAGAAGAAGACACUAGAAAGGAGAGCCUGCGGAUGAUGCGAUCUGGAUUAACAGUCCCCUUUGAUUGUCUAAAAAGGAGUUGCCUGUUCCUGGAGGCCCUUUGAAAUGAUGAAUUUCUCGUCAGUAAACAUCAAUUCCUUUUAAAUCCUCAUGUUUGCCAGUUUUUCUUCCUCUAUCUCACCCUUUAUGUUGGUCCAGAACGUGACUGUCACAAAUAUCUGGGUGAACAAGUUUGUGAAAUGCGGUCGUAAAAUAAGUGCUUAUUUCUAAACUCAUUUUUGUCACGUUGUAAUGCUCCACAAAGCACCUGUCCCUGGGCUACGAUUCAUUUUAAUUGAUCCCAUCAGCACCACAUCUAUAUCCUGAGUGACUUCACGAUACCCCCAAUUUCAAAAGAAGCCAAUCAGGUUACAAGAUUGUUAGUAAUGAAAAUUACCAAGGAGCAGUUUGUGGGUGAUAAGAGCGAUACAAAUUCUAAACAGAAGUAAUAAGAGAAAUAAUGAGCAUCCUCUUCACUUCUUAGAAGUGAACAAUUCCGAGUUCCCUGAAGCAACACUUAACCUGCGGCAUUAAACAGUAAUGGACAAAUAUCAGAAAUGUCGAUGUCAGCUUUUAGAAUCUGUUGGCAUCCAACGUCACUUAAAAGUUAAGUUCUCCUAAGUAUUCUUUUCCUACUAAGACAGAGCCUUAAAUCCCAGAAGAAUGAUUUUGCUCUUGUUUUAAUGACAUGUUUACUGGUUCAUUCCAGAGUAUGGGCGGGGAAAAAAUGGAAGUGUCUAUAAAGUAUUUUCUGUCCCAUGACUUUCCACUACGUCACUAUCGGUAGCACUUCCCGUUGCCAAAAUGCUUUGCAGAGCCUCGUAAAUGAGCAUUCAGCAAGCUGCUAUGGAGACCUCAGCACCAACUGGAGCACAGCCCUCCCACAUUUCUCCUUCGCCCCCGCCUCCUCGGGUGGGCAUGCACCUGCUAAAGCUUUACGAUACAUCACAGAGCGAGGAGGGAGGGAGAACAACAGCCCCAAUUACAUGGGCAGCUCUUCUCUCUCUAAACAGAAGAACUAGCUGGACUGGAAGGUGGGUUCUUUGGCGGGAGUGAGAGAGAGGAUGACAGAAUCAGAGGAGCCUGAGAGAGCUUCAUUUCAGGACACUGCUUUAGGAUGGAAAAUAGACUUAACGGGUGUGACUGACUUGAGGUGACUUUGGGGGCUCUUUUGAGGAAGAAGUCCUUGCUGAACUGGA
rnacentral:lncRNA from 1 species